rnacentral:rRNA from 1 species
CCUACGGGAGGCAGCAGUGGGGAAUCUUGCGCAAUGGGGGCAACCCUGACGCAGCCAUGCCGCGUGAAUGAUGAAGGCCUUAGGGUUGUAAAGUUCUUUUGCCCGUGACGAUGAUGACGGUAACGGGAGAAUAAGCUCCGGCUAACUUCGUGCCAGCAGCCGCGGUAAUACGAAGGGGGCUAGCGUUGUUCGGAAUUACUGGGCGUAAAGCGCGCGCAGGCGGUUCGAUAAGUUAGGGGUGAAAUCCCUGGGCUCAACCCAGGAAUGGCCUUUAAGACUGUCGAGCUAGAGGGCGAGAGAGGUGAGUGGAAUUCCCAGUGUAGAGGUGAAAUUCGUAGAUAUUGGGAAGAACACCGGUGGCGAGGGCGGCUCACUGGCUCGUUUCUGACGCUGAGGCGCGAAAGCGUGGGGAGCAAACAGGAUUAGAUACCCUGGUAGUCCACGCCCUAAACGAUGAGUGCCAGGUGUCGGGAAGCUUAGCUUCUCGGCGCCGCAGCUACGACCUUACGUACACUCCGCCGUCGGGUAGGUACGGCCGCCGAACGGUUAAAACCGUUAACAAACUAGAAGUUAGUACGGCGUGAGACGUCGCCGAACGGACGACGACGAGGGAGGUAGG